rnacentral:rRNA from 1 species
CUACGGGAUGCAGCAGUGGGGAAUAUUGCACAAUGGGCGCAAGCCUGAUGCAGCCAUGCCGCGUGUAUGAAGAAGGCCUUCGGGUUGUAAAGUACUUUCAGCGGGGAGGAAGGGAGUAAAGUUAAUACCUUUGCUCAUUGACGUUACCCGCAGAAGAAGCACCGGCUAACUCCGUGCCAGCAGCCGCGGUAAUACGGAGGUGCAAGCGUUAAUCGGAAUUACUGGGCGUAAAGCGCACGCAGGCGGUUUGUUAAGUCAGAUGUGAAAUCCCCGGGCGCAACCUGGGAACUGCAUCUGAUACUGGCAAGCUUGAGUCUCGUAGAGGGGGGUAGAAUUCCAGGUGUAGCGGUGAAAUGCGUAGAGAUCUGGAGGAAUACCGGUGGCGAAGGCGGCCCCCUGGACGAAGACUGACGCUCAGGUGCGAAAGCGUGGGGAGCAAACAGGAUUAGAUACCCCUGUAGUC